rnacentral:rRNA from 1 species
UACGUAGGGCGCAAGCGUUGUCCGGAAUUAUUGGGCGUAAAGAGCUCGUAGGCGGUUUGUCGCGUCUGCUGUGAAAACCUAAGGCUCAACCUUGGGCUUGCAGUGGGUACGGGCAGACUAGAGUGCGGUAGGGGUGACUGGAAUUCCUGGUGUAGCGGUGGAAUGCGCAGAUAUCAGGAGGAACACCGGUGGCGAAGGCGGAUCUCUGGGCCGUAACUGACGCUGAGGAGCGAAAGCAUGGGGAGCGAACAGG